CAGUCGCCGCGGUAAUACGUAGGUGGCAAGCGUUGUCCGGAAUUAUUGGGCGUAAAGGGCUCGCAGGCGGUUUCUUAAGUCUGAUGUGAAAGCCCCCGGCUCAGCCGGGGAGGGUCAUUGGAAACUGGGAAACUUGAGUGCAGAAGAGGAGAGUGGAAUUCCACGUGUAGCGGUGAAAUGCGUAGAGAUGUGGAGGAACACCAGUGGCGAAGGCGACUCUCUGGUCUGUAACUGACGCUGAGGAGCGAAAGCGUGGGGAGCGAACAGGAUUAGAUACCCGGGUAGUCCCUGUCUCUUAUAC
rnacentral:rRNA from 1 species